UAAGCACUAUGACUAAAAAGUUAAAACUUAAACUACAUGGCGGCAGUUAAAAAUUUCAGGGGAACUUGCCAGAUAAGUGACAGCCCUCAUAAUAACACCACUCUUUUUUAAAGUUUGUAUAUCGCCGUCUUCAGCGUUCAUUUUAGAUGAACUCAAAAUGUUAAACAACAAUAAGACAGGUUCUGAUGCAGCCUAUAUAAGAGUCCCGGUGAGUUACAAUAUAAAUUUAAUUUAGAGCCUUUCUGAAACCAAACGGUAAAAAUGGACUUGAAAGUAAUAGUUAUAAUAUACAUUAAUUGAAUUACAAAAUC
rnacentral:rRNA from 1 species